rnacentral:rRNA from 1 species
AGAGUUCGAUCCUGGCUCAGGAUGAACGCUGGCGGCGCGCCUAACACAUGCAAGUCGAACGGUUAAAGCACCUUUUAGGUGUGUAUAAAGUGGCGAACGGCUGAGUAACACGUGGGCAACCUGCCCUCCUCUUGGGGAUAGCCUCGGGAAACCGAGGAUAAUACCCGAUACUUCAAUGUGGCCGCAUGACGACAUUGAGAAAGCUUUUGCGGAGAAGGAUGGGCCCGCGGCCUGUUAGCUUGUUGGUGGGGUAGAGGCCUACCAAGGCAAUGAUGGGUAGCUGGGUUGAGAGACCGACCAGCCAGAUUGGGACUGAGACACGGCCCAGACUCCUACGGGAGGCAGCAGUGGGGAAUCUUGCACAAUGGGCGAAAGCCUGAUGCAGCGACGCCGCGUGCGGGACGAAGGCCUUCGGGUUGUAAACCGCUUUCAGCAGGGACGAGGCGAAAGUGACGGUACCUGCAGAAGAAGCCCCGGCUAACUACGUGCCAGCAGCCGCGGUAAUACGUAGGGGGCAAGCGUUAUCCGGAUUCAUUGGGCGUAAAGCGCUCGUAGGCGGUCUGUUAGGUCGGGAGUUAAAUCCGGAGGCUCAACCUCCGUUCGCUCCCGAUACCGGCAGACUUGAGUUUGGUAGGGGAAGGUGGAAUUCCUAGUGUAGCGGUGGAAUGCGCAGAUAUUAGGAAGAACACCAGUGGCGAAGGCGGCCUUCUGGGCCAUAACUGACGCUGAGGAGCGAAAGCUAGGGGAGCAAACAGGAUUAGAUACCCUGGUAGUCCUAGCUGUAAACGAUGGACACUAGGUGUGGGAGAAUACGUCUUCCGUGCCGCAGCUAACGCAUUAAGUGUCCCGCCUGGGGAGUACGGCCGCAAGGCUAAAACUCAAAGGAAUUGAC